UCCCUGAUGGUCCAGUGGUUAGGUUAGGACUUGGCACUUUCACUGCCAUGGCUCAGGUUCAAUCCCUGGUCAGGGAA